rnacentral:rRNA from 1 species
UAAGAAAAGGUGGCCUCUGAAGAUGCUACCGAUUAUGGAUGGACCCGCGUCUGAUUAGCUAGUUGGUGGGGAAAGGCCUACCAAGGCGACGAUCAGUAGCCGGCCUGAGAGGGUGAACGGCCACACUGGGACUGAGACACGGCCCAGACUCCUACGGGAGGCAGCAGUGGGGAGUAUUGCGCAAUGGACGAAAGUCUG